rnacentral:rRNA from 1 species
CCAACAACCAACUCGCCCGAGAACUACCAGCACAAGCUAAAAACUCAAAAGACUUGACGGUGCUCUACCCUACCUAGAGGAGCCUGUCCUAUAAUCGAUACCCCACGAUCCACCCGACCGCCACUAGCAACUUCAGCCUAUAUACCGCCGUCGAAAGUAUAUCCCCCAAGGGACUUAUAAUUUUCCCAAAAGCCCACCCCCUAAAACGUCAGGCCAAGGCAUAGCUUAUGUGACGGCAGAGAUGGGCUACAUUUUCUACCCGAGAACAUACGAAAGAUGGCCUGAAACUUGCCAUCCCAAGGUGGAUUUAGUAGUAAGAUGAAAA